rnacentral:snRNA from 1 species
AAGUUCUUCUAUAAUUUAGAA